rnacentral:rRNA from 1 species
AACGAACGCUGGCGGCAGGCCUAACACAUGCAAGUCGAACGCCGUAGCAAUACGGAGUGGCAGACGGGUGAGUAACGCGUGGGAACAUACCCCUCGGUUCGGAAUAACUCAGGGAAACUUGAGCUAAUACCGGAUACGUCCGAUGUUUUAAUCGACCUUGGAGAAAGAUUUAUCGCCGGAGGAUUGGCCCGCGUCUGAUUAGCUUGUUGGUGAGGUAAUGGCUCACCAAGGCGACGANCAGUAGCUGGUCUGAGAGGAUGAUCAGCCACAUUGGGACUGAGACACGGCCCAAACUCCUACGGGAGGCAGCAGUGGGGAAUAUUGGACAAUGGGCGAAAGCCUGAUCCAGCCAUGCCGCGUGAGUGAUGAAGGCCUUAGGGUUGUAAAGCUCUUUACCCGGGAAGAUAAUGACGGUA